GACGAACGCUGGCGGCGUGCCUAAUACAUGCAAGUCGAACGAGAGCGACCGGUGCUUGCACUGGUCAAUCUAGUGGCGAACGGGUGAGUAACACGUGGGUAACCUGCCCAUCAGAGGGGGAUAACAUCCGGAAACGGAUGCUAAAACCGCAUAGGUCUUCGAGCCGCAUGGCUUGAAGAGGAAAAGAGGCGCAAGCUUCUGCUGAUGGAUGGACCCGCGGUGCAUUAGCUAGUUGGUGAGGUAACGGCUCACCAAGGCCGUGAUGCAUAGCCGACCUGAGAGGGUGAUCGGCCACAUUGGGACUGAGACACGGCCCAAACUCCUACGGGAGGCAGCAGUAGGGAAUCUUCCGCAAUGGACGCAAGUCUGACGGAGCAACGCCGCGUGAGUGAAGAAGGUUUUCGGAUCGUAAAACUCCGUUGUUAGAGAAGAACAAGUGCUAGAGUAACUGUUAGCGCCUUGACGGUAUCUAACCAGAAAGCCACGGCUAACUACGUG
rnacentral:rRNA from 1 species